GCCUUGUUAGCUCAGCGGCUUAGAGCGUCUGGCUUUUAACCAGACGGUCGUGGGUUCGAUCCCCACACAAGGCG